rnacentral:rRNA from 1 species
UUUCAGCUCCCAAACCCCUGUGAACAUACCACUUGUUGCCUCGGCGGAUCAGCCCGCUCCCGGUAAAACGGGACGGCCCGCCAGAGGACCCCUAAACUCUGUUUCUAUAUGUAACUUCUGAGUAAAACCAUAAAUAAAUCAAAACUUUCAACAACGGAUCUCUUGGUUCUGGCAUCGAUGAAGAACGCAGCAAAAUGCGAUAAGUAAUGUGAAUUGCAGAAUUCAGUGAAUCAUCGAAUCUUUGAACGCACAUUGCGCCCGCCAGUAUUCUGGCGGGCAUGCCUGUUCGAGCGUCAUUUCAACCCUCAAGCACAGCUUGGUGUUGGGACUCGCGUUAAUUCGCGUUCCUCAAAUUGAUUGGCGGUCACGUCGAGCUUCCAUAGCGUAGUAGUAAAACCCUCGUUACUGGUAAUCGUCGCGGCCACGCCGUUAAACCCCAACUUCUGAAUGUUGACCUCGGAUCAGGUAGGAAUACCCGCU